UACGUAGGGUGCGAGCGUUAAUCGGAAUUACUGGGCGUAAAGCGUGCGCAGGCGGUGAUGUAAGACAGUUGUGAAAUCCCCGGGCUUAACCUGGGAAUGGCAUUGGUGACUGCACGGCUAGAGUGUGUCAGAGGGGGGUAGAAUUCCACGUGUAGCAGUGAAAUGCGUAGAGAUGUGGAGGAAUACCGAUGGCGAAGGCAGCCCCCUGGGAUAACACUGACGCUCAUGCACGAAAGCGUGGGGAGCAAACAGG
rnacentral:rRNA from 1 species